AAUCCUGGUGAUGACAGACGACAUGAUCACCAAUCCCUAUGGGAAUGAGGACAUGUCCUGCAAUUCUGAUCGGAUU